rnacentral:rRNA from 1 species
UACGUAGGGUGCGAGCGUUGUCCGGAUUUAUUGGGCGUAAAGAGCUCGUAGGCGGGUUGGUAAGUCCGCUGUGAAAGCCCGGAGCUUAACUCCGGAGGGUCGGUGGAUACUGCCAGUCUUGAAGGUGCUAGGGGGAGAUGGAAUUACCGGUGUAGCGGUGAAAUGCGUAGAUAUCGGUAGGAACACCAGUGGCGAAAGCGGUCUCCUGGGGCAUUCUUGACGCUGAGGCGCGAAAGCUGGGGGAGCAAACGGG